GCCGGGGUGGUGGAAUGGCAGACACGAGGGACUUAAAAUCCCUUGGGCCUAAGGCCUGUGCGGGUUCGAGUCCCGCCCUCGGCA
rnacentral:tRNA from 1 species